AAAAAGAGAGCUCGUGGAUCAAAAUCAUAAUUUCUCUGCAAGUUAUAAGUUUCAAACUAUCAAGCUCAAGAUCAAGUUCAAGAUCAAGAACGAAGGAAAUUUUGUUCAACAUCAAGUUACUUAUUCAUCGUUCGUGGCAACCAUCCAAGUAUUUGCGACGAACUAACAUACAAAUUCAAGUCCGGAGACGAAGAUUCAAG
rnacentral:lncRNA from 1 species